rnacentral:rRNA from 1 species
CCCUUAGAUGUUCUGGGCCGCACGCGCGCUACACUGACGAUGGCAACGAGUUUUUCCUUCGCCGAAAGGUGUGGGUAAUCUUUUGAAACAUCGUCGUGCUGGGGAUAGAUCAUUGCAAUUUUUGAUCUUGAACGAGGAAUUCCUAGUAAGCGCGAGUCAUCAGCUCGCGUUGAUUACGUCCCUGCCCUUUGUACACACCGCCCGUCGCUACUACCGAUUGAAUGACUCGGUGAAAAAUUGGGACUGUGAUUGAAAUUGCUUCAUUGCGAAUUUAAUUAUGGAAACUUUCUUUAACCUAGGCAUUUAGAGGAAGGUGAAGUCGUAACA